UUAAUUUUAUAACUAAAUAUAAAAAUAUAAUUUGAGGCUAUCACAAAACUUACCAUUAUUGAAACCAUAUUUCUCAGCACUAUUUGAAGGUGGGCUCUAAUUUGAUUGUUUAUAACUCAUCCUCAAUUUGUAAUGUUAAUAUUUGAAAAUCUUCAAUACUGGGUUCAAGAGUAUUUGCUAUACUUGAUUCAGGGGUAUAUGUAGGAAUAACAACAUGAUCAGUUGUUCUUCGUAUCCCUUGAAAUUGUAAAUCUGAAUGAGGUAUUGAUGAAGAAGAUUGAGUAGAAGGUAGUAUAAUAACAUCAGGAUUAGUAGAAUAAGAUUUUCUAAUUGGUAUUUUAUUCCUUAUAUUCCUUUUUCUAUUAAUAUUAAUGUUAU
rnacentral:lncRNA from 1 species